rnacentral:rRNA from 1 species
GAUGAACGCUGGCGGCGUGCCUAAUACAUGCAAGUCGAGCGAACAGACGAGGAGCUUGCUCCUCUGACGUUAGCGGCGGACGGGUGAGUAACACGUGGAUAACCUACCUACAAGACUGGGAUAACUUCGGGAAACCGGAGCUAAUACCGGAUAAUAUAUUGAACCGCAUGGUUCAAUAGUGAAAGACGGUUUUGCUGUCACUUAUAGAUGGAUCCGCGCAGCAUUAGCUAGUUGGUAAGGUAACGGCUUACCAAGGCAACGAUGCGUAGCCGACCUGAGAGGGUGAUCGGCCACACUGGAACUGAGACACGGUCCAGACUCCUACGGGAGGCAGCAGUAGGGAAUCUUCCGCAAUGGGCGAAAGCCUGACGGAGCAACGCCGCGUGAGUGAUGAAGGUCUUCGGAUCGUAAAACUCUGUUAUUAGGGAAGAACAAAUGUGUAAGUAACUAUGCACGUCUUGACGGUACCUAAUCAGAAAGCCACGGCUAACUACGUG